rnacentral:rRNA from 1 species
GAUGAACGCUGGCGGCGUGCCUAAUACAUGCAAGUCGAGCGAACAGACGAGGAGCUUGCUUCUCUGACGUUAGCGGCGGACGGGUGAGUAACACGUGGAUAACCUACCUAUAAGACUGGGAUAACUUCGGGAAACCGGAGCUAAUACCGGAUAAUAUAUUGAACCGCAUGGUUCAAUAGUGAAAGACGGUUUUGCUGUCCCUUAUCGAUGGAUCCGCGCCGCAUUAGCUAGUUGGUAAGGUAACGGCAUACCAAGGCAACGAUGCGUAGCCGACCUGAGAGGGUGGUCGGCCACACUGGAACUGAAACGCGGUCCAGACUCCUACGGGAGGCAGCAGUAGGGAAUCUGCCGCAGUGGGCGAAAGCCUGGCGCAGCGAGGCCGCGUGAGUGAUGAAGGUCUUCGGAUCGUAAUACUCUGUUAUUAGGGAAGAACAAAUGUGUGAGUAACUAUACACGUCUUGACGGUACCUGAACAAAAAGCCACGGCUAACUACGUG